GAUGAACGCUAGCUACAGGCUUAACACAUGCAAGUCGAGGGGCAGCAUGACCUAGCAAUAGGUUGAUGGCGACCGGCGCACGGGUGAGUAACACGUAUCCAACCUGCCGAUUAUUCCGGGAUAGCCUUUCGAAAGAAAGAUUAAUACUGGAUAGCAUAACGAGAAGGCAUCUUCUUGCUAUUAAAGAAUUUCGAUAAUCGAUGGGGAUGCGUUCCAUUAGUUUGUUGGCGGGGUAACGGCCCAUCAAGACAUCGAUGGAUAGGGGUUCUGAGAGGAAGGUCCCCCACAUUGGGACUGAGACACGGUCCAAACUCCUACGGGAGGCAGCAGUGAGGAAUAUUGGUCAAUGGACGAGAGUCUGAACCAGCCAAGUAGCGUGAAGGAUGACUGCCCUAUGGGUUGUAAACUUCUUUUAUAUGGGAAUAAAGUGGGCCACGUGUGGCUUUUUGUAUGUACCAUACGAAUAAGGAUCGGCUAACUCCGUG
rnacentral:rRNA from 1 species